ACUGACCUGCUGUGGGCUUGUUUUUUUCUUUUUUCUUUUUUUUUUUUUUUAGGAAAGAGUGGAUCUAUAUGAUUAAAAAGAGAUUCAUCUUUAACUGCACUAGUCUUUUAAGCAAAAUGUGUGGAUGUAUUGUGUUACAUGCUGAACUAAAAAUCGCUGAACAUCAGUCUGUCAUAUGCAACAGGGCUUUCUAAAUGCUUCUGGGAAAGAUGGGUUAGGGUGACAUCAGUGCCUCAUAUUUUUUGUUUGAAUUUUACAGCUCGUUUGCAUUGGUAAAGCCACAGCAGAGGCAUUUCUCAAAAGUAAAAUAUAAUUUCAGGUACAUUCAAAACUUCUGGGUAACUACCAGGGCCAGUGUUAUGUACUCAGGAUUAAUUCAUUAAAAUUUUUCCCAGCAGCUUAGACGUGUGCAAUAAGUUGACAGGCCCAAAAUGUCUUCAACGAGCUGCUUGACCCUUUGAUUUCCCACUUUACAUUUUGCUUAGGUACGUAAAGGGACUGUUCGUGAUUUUUCCAACUGUGGAGUUCAUCGGAAUGACCAGAAGGUGGAAGUACACUCACCGGAGCUCUGAGUUUCGGUCACAUUCAUGCUCCCCCGCCCUCAGCUGCCUGCAGGCUCGGAGAAAGCCGUUCUCGACGACGCAUGCGCAGUUUAAACAAAGCCGUUCUCGACGACGCAUGCGCAGUUUUAACCCGAAUAUGGCAUCGGCUGUUUUGUUCUACUAAAUGUUCAAUAUUAUGAUUCGUGACUCAUUAUUUAUUUAUUUUUACUUGGAGGGGUUUUGGGUCUGUGAAUGAGAGUAAGUUGGACAUGGCUUUAGUAAUAUGUAUCCAUUAAGAGCUCAGGUGUUAACCUAAGUAACUAGCGAACUUUAGCUAAAUUAACAUUAGGCUACUCACUGUAGUCGGGUGCACGCACGGCUGUGUACUGUCUUUCCGUUGUUAAGCACUCGGCUAGCAAACUAGCCGAUUCGAUAAUUCGGCCACCUUGCUGACCGGGAAAAAGAAUAAGGAGAAAACGCUAAAUCAUCUAAGUUUAGAGGUUUAUCGUGCGGAUAUGUGAAGUUGUUUGUUAAUUAUGUCUGUAGAAAUAGGGUCAGAAGGUACCGAAAUGAAUGUGUUUAAGGUCUGAGAGUCUGGUCAGAGUGGUUAUUUCUGUAGGAAACCCUGAAAAGUGACAAACUCUCGCUGCUGUAUAGGUAUGAGGCAUGCCGCCCAGCCAAUGUGUAACUUGACGGGAAUUGUUGCAAUUACUUCUGCGUUGCUGUGCAGUUAGCCUAUGUCUGACUGAUGCCACCAAUGUUUGUUCGGUUUGCCAAAUGGAUGACCUCUUGUUUGGGGGUUUCUGGUAUUUCUCAUGUUUAGUAGGGAUGAUCAUCUGGAAGUAUUGUGCUGCCUGUUAGAUAGGGUAGUGCACGCUGGUACAUGGACUGCAAUACCUGAAUCAGAUCCAUUCAGCACCAAACCAAAAAAUAUAUACUUACACAUUCAUUAAAACAUGUAAUUUAAGUA